AGACGCUGUCGUUUCCUGUGAAUUUCAUGAGGAGACCGUUUCUUUAACCAACAAUGAAAGUCCAAAGUUAACAGAUAUGCAAGCUAAGGCAGUGAAUAGUGGUUCCAGUGCAGCAGCCACAGUAGCCUCAGGAAUAGGAAAAAGAUUGACAACAGUAUGGAAAAGAGUUGAUGAAGAGCUGCUUGCAGUGGAAAAAGAAAAACUGCAAAUUGAAACAGAACGGCUCGGUGUAGAGAAAAGGAGAUUACAAGAAGAACAAGACAGGCUUGAUAUUGAGCAAAGUCGCUUGGGAAUUGAAACUAAGAGGCUCAAAUUGGAAGAAGACAGACAAUUAAGUCAACAGAACUUCAAUUUAUGUUCCCCCUUUUAUUCUCAAUCUGGUUCAAUGAUGAGCUACCUACAAAUGUAAAAUAUGUUUGUUUGAUGUUACAAAGUUUUCUCUUACUGAGUCAGAAAAUGAAAAUAGUAUUUAAAUUAAAUUUAUCAUUUU